ACGCUCGACACCUACGGGGGCAGCAGUGGGGAAUAUUGCACAAUGGGGGAAACCCUGAUGCAGCAACGCCGCGUGAAGGAAGACGGUUUUCGGAUUGUAAACUUCUGUUCUUAGUGAAGAUAGUGACGGUAGCUAAGGAGCAAGCCACGGCUAACUACGUGCUAGCAGCCGCGGUAAUCUGAGCGGGCUGGCAAGGC
rnacentral:rRNA from 1 species